rnacentral:rRNA from 1 species
UACGUAGGGGGCAAGCGUUGUCCGGAAUCAUUGGGCGUAAAGCGCGUGUAGGCGGCCCAGUAAGUCCGCUCUGAAAGCCCGGGGCUUAACCCCGGGAGGCGGGUGGAUACUGCUGGGCUCGAGUCCGGAAGAGGCGAGUGGAAUUCCCGGUGUAGCGGUGAAAUGCGCAGAUAUCGGGAGGAACACCAAUGGCGAAGGCAGCUCGCUGGGACGUGACUGACGCUGAGACGCGAAAGCGUGGGGAGCAAACAGG